GUGGUUUGAUGUGCUUUUCCCUGAUGAUGAGUGAUGUGGAGCAUCUUUUCAUGGGUCUGUUGGCCAUUUCUGUGUCUUCUUUGGAAAAGUGUCUCUCCGCGUCUUCUGCCCACUUCUUACCAGUCCCUUUAUUUUGAGAUAUGAAUACCAUCUACAUUGUGUGACUAGGAGAGCUACAUGAGGUGAUGUGGAGCCCCAACACAUCAAGUGCCCGAUGACCUUAAGGACUGGGUACGAUGGGUUGAGUUUUGCCCCCCAAAGUGCUUAUGUUGAACCCUGACUCUAGGACCUCAGAAUGUGACCGUGCUUGGAGAUGGAGUCUUUACCGAGGUGGUUGAGUUAAAAUGAAGUGUCAGGCUGGGCCCUAAUCUAGUGUGACUGGUGUCCUUAUAAGCAGAGGAGAUCAGAACACGGGCACACAUAGAGGGGUGACCACGUGAGGACCCAGGGAAGACGAUGUAUCCAUGCCCAGGACAGAGGUCAGGCAUGUUAAAUUAGCAUCUGUCUCCUGGAGCCCUGGGUGCUGGACAGUGAGCAUGGUUCCACAACAGGCCACAGAGAAAUCGAAAUAGAGAAGUUUAUCACAGAACCUGGAGGAGGCGCUUGCCUAGGGAGGCCCCCUAGGGAGCUCAAGGCAGGUGCAGGCACAGAGCAGAAGACCUGGGGCUCCUGCCUUUACCAGGGCUCUCCGUCUCCAGCUUGCCGAGUGCAGAUCUUGGGAUUGCUCAGCCUCCGUAGAUUGGUGAGUCAGCUCCUCUAAUAAAUCUCUUUCUAUAAACUCCAUUGGUUCUGUUUCUCUGAACAAUCCAGACUAACAAGCAUUUUCUUUAUACAACUGAUCAUUGUAAAUUCUUUCUCAGCCCCUUUGAGAUGUAUGUAAAUCUUUUUUAAAGCCUCUUGCCUGUGUUACAACACAGGAAUGUCCUUCUCGAGGACCUGGGAGCCAUCUCUCUGAAAUGAAAUGCCGCGGAAGGUAGCGUGCAAUCCCCCAGUCCCUGUGGGGGUGGGCGCCCCGUCUCCUAGUUGGACAGCUACCGGCCGUCGCAAAGACAGGAGAAGUCUGCGUUUCCUCUGGGCAAAGCCAAUUAGCAAACACAGGCAGUCUUGGGUCCCCGUCAGCCAGCGCUUGAAGAAUCCCGUCCUUUGUCUCAGAGGAGCUGCGUCCUCUCUCCUCUGUUGUGGUAGCUCUGCAUUGCGUCGUCCCUGCCUGUUUCACCUUCUCCAGAGCCGUUUUGGCUUUGGCGGUGCCCACACCUCUGCUCAUACAGGCUACUCCGGCCUAUGGUCUGCUCCUCCCCGGCCUGCACACGCUCAGACCCCGACUGCAGGGCCAGACCAAGAAGGCGGGCAGCGUGGGCCCCACACACACAGUGGGUGUGCAGUGACACACCCGGCAGCCCCGUGCGUCAGGGCCCUGCCUCCUGGCUUCCCGCAUCCCCCUAGGUCUGUCCUCAGACACAGAAACAGGUGCGGCCACAUCCUGAGGCACAUGGAUUCAGUUGCUCCCCAAACCAAAUUUCUAUAUAGAAGGUAAGUCUCCGGGUGCCGGGGUGGCUCAGUUGUUAAGCAUCUGCCUUUGGC